rnacentral:ncRNA from 1 species
AGAUUUUUCAGCGUGCUAUCAAGAGGCUUGAUGAACAGGCUGUUGUUCUUCAGACGGACGUCGCCUUUGGCGGUGGUCAUCUCUCCGUCCAGCGGGAUAUCAAGAUGUAAGCGAGCAUUCACAUCGCCAUCAAGCUGCAGCUGCUGAAGCGUCGCGGCCAGCGACUCUUUCAGCGGCGUCUCCUCAAAGUACGGUCCCACCGCUUUGCCCGGCCCGUUGAUGUCGGCAUCAAUCAGCAGCAUCUCUUUUGAGUAGUCCGGAAUGUUGGCCGUCAGGUUGCUGGCCGUCACGCCGCCCAGCGCCACGCUGUCGGACUUCAUCCAUAGCCCGUCAUUGAGGAAGUUGAGUUCGAUAUCCAGGUCUUUCAGCGCGGGCCAGCCGGGCUGGAAAGCGAAGGUCGCGUUAUGCAGCGGCACC